rnacentral:rRNA from 1 species
CCUACGGGCGGCAGCAGUGGGGGAUAUUGCACAAUGGGGGAAACCCUGAUGCAGCGACGCCGCGUGUGGGAAGACGGUCCUCUGGAUUGUAAACCACUGUCCCCAGGGACGAAAAUGACGGUACCUGGGGAGGAAGCUCCGGCUAACUACGGGCCAGCAGCCGCGGUAAUACGGAGGGAGCGAGCGUUGUACGGAAUUACGGGGUGUAAAGGGAGCGGAGGCGGGGAUGCAGGUUGGGUGUCAAAACUACCGGCUAAACUGGUAGUCGCACUCAAAACUGCAGCUCUUGAGUGAAGUAGAGGCAGGCGGAAUUCCUAGUGUAGCGGUGAAAUGCGUAGAUAUUAGGAGGAACACCAGUGGCGAAGGCGGCCUGCUGGGCUUUUACUGACGCUGAGGCUCGAAAGUGUGGGGAGCAAACAGGAUUAGAUACCCGUGUAGUC